rnacentral:sRNA from 1 species
AUAAAAAUUAUGAUAGCAAUCAUUUUUGUAAGCAUUUUAUUAAAUUAAAAAAUCCCACAUGUAAAUCAUUUAUAGACCUUUGAUCUCAAAUAUUUGAAUAUAUCUAGGCAGAACUCAAAUAUUUUUUUUUUUAAAAAGACUUUUGAGUUUGAUAAACAUUUCUUACCUAAAGACACAAGAUAAUUGGAUUUUUUUUCAAGGGUUUGUUUUUCUUUUGAAGCCAAUUUAUGAAUUUCAUCAAGAUUUCAUCUAAAAACAAAUGCAUAUCCAUAUUCUGUUUUUAAAAAAGAAUUAACAAACGAAGGAUUGUAUCAAUCUCAAGGAAGGAAAAUUUCUUGCUGUUUCUAUUUAUUUUUAUACUUUAGGGAAUAAUUACAUAUUGGGAAUACAUAGCUAUACCCAAUGUUUUUAUAUUAACACAUCAAGGAGAUUCAGCUUAUUGCAGCUAUUCCAUUAACUUUUUUUUGACGUUUUAUUUAUGUUGAAGGUUCAUUGAUUGAUAUUGUUGCAUGUAAUGUAUGGCUUCGUGUUGUUGACAUUAUAAUAGAAUUGUGUUUAUUUUAUUAGACAGAUUGUCAUUUCAUAAUUAAUAUUAUUAAGUUGUACUUCACUGUUUUUUAGUUCAUAUAUAGAUCUCUGAAGGAAUAUAAAUAAAAUAUCAGAUACACGU